GACGAACGCUGGCGGCGUGCUUAACACAUGCAAGUCGAACGAAGAGCGAUGGAAGCUUGCUUCUAUCAAUCUUAGUGGCGAACGGGUGAGUAACGCGUAAUCAACCUGCCCUUCAGAGGGGGACAACAGUUGGAAACGACUGCUAAUACCGCAUACGAUCUAAUCUCGGCAUCGAGGAUAGAUGAAAGGUGGCCUCUACAUGUAAGCUAUCACUGAAGGAGGGGAUUGCGUCUGAUUAGCUAGUUGGAGGGGUAACGGCCCACCAAGGCGAUGAUCAGUAGCCGGUCUGAGAGGAUGAACGGCCACAUUGGGACUGAGACACGGCCCAGACUCCUACGGGAGGCAGCAGUGGGGAAUCUUCCGCAAUGGACGAAAGUCUGACGGAGCAACGCCGCGUGAGUGAUGACGGCCUUCGGGUUGUAAAGCUCUGUUAAUCGGGACGAAAGGCCUUCUUGCGAAUAGUGAGAAGGAGUGACG
rnacentral:rRNA from 1 species